rnacentral:misc_RNA from 1 species
CGAGUUAGGGUCCUCAUCGGGCCCGACCUCCCAACCCAUUGUUUAUGAUACCUAGGUGUUGCUUCGGUAGGCCUGGUCUCUACCUGCUGGGGGGCCGUCACACGCCCGCCGGAGAGUGCCUGCCGACAGCCUAAACCUCAAAAUCUUUAACCAAACGUGUCUUUGUCUGAGUAAACGUCUUUAAUAAAAGCAAAACUUUCAACAACGGAUCUCUUGGUUCUGGCAUCGA